UAAGCUGCAUGGAAUCGGAAGCGGGUACGUGGAAGCGGAAGCGUUUGGAAGCGGGGAAACGAGUUUUUUAAAAAAGUUAGGAAGCGGGUACGUGUUAGAAGCGUAAAUAUAUACAUAUAUAUAUAUAGAUUUAUUAAAUAUUUAAUUUACUCUACACUAACCAUUGGAUAUGCAUGAUAAUUGAGAAAAUUUUAAACCAUACGAAAUACAUAACAUGUAGAAUAAUAAAUAUAGUCAUCAAAAGUAAGAAAUGCAUUGUUAACAAUAAAAUAUUUUGGAUGUCUUAAUAAAAGAAUAAAAACGCAAAUAAAAACGGGCCAUUUAAACAAAAUUAGGCUUAAAAGAAUAAAAAAAUUAAAGCCCAACUUGUGGUAGUCAGAUUCCUUUCAAUAUAUUUGUCGGAGACUGACUUGAGAGAAGAGUCGCCGAUUAGAUCUAAAACUGAAACCACCGAAGACAACUUGAAAAGAGUGUAGGUUUUGGUGUCAUGAAGACUCUCAAGUCUCAAGCAAUCAGAGGUUUCAAGACAACCUCUCUCCAUUGACACGUGAGAAGCACAAGUUGUGGGUAUCAGUAAUUAGUCACAACUAGAAGGAUAAAAGGGUCUUUCAUGUUGGCUCUGUAUCUUCUUCUUCAUUCACUUCCCUUUUACUACUCUCUGGAUUAUACGUACUUCUUCUUGAUUCACUACUCUCUGGAUUAGUUUGUGAGGAUAAAUGACGGGUGGGUUUCUGUGGGAAGGCUGCACUUCCGUUGAUAAAAAAACCACGCUUCCAAGUCCGAAUCGAACGCUUCCCAGAAGCUUCCAAUCUUCAAUUUUCUGGAACCGCGCUUCCAUCACGAUUCCGGUCGCUUCCGGUCGCUUCCGCACCCGCUUCCGGUUCCGAAGCGAGAAUCGGAGGUUGGACGGCGCUUCCAUGCUUCCUAGCGUGAAACUGAAAUAGAAAACGGUAUAUUAAAAUAGAACACAAAUUUGUGCGGAAGAUGUGAAACUGUUGUUUGACU
rnacentral:lncRNA from 1 species